UGCAGAUAGAGGUGCGGUUAUCAUCAGUACCGCUGCAGAGUGCGUCGCCGCUCGAUGAAGCAGUCGGAAAAGGGAUCGCCGCCGAAGGGGUCGGAUGGCGAUGAUUCGGCUGCCUGGGCAGUAGGUCAACAGCCUGCUGACUGUCAUCAGACCACUCUCUGGUGGAGCACUUCUGA
rnacentral:ncRNA from 1 species